rnacentral:rRNA from 1 species
GAAAGCAUCUAAGCAUGAAGCCCCCCUCAAGAUGAGAUUUCCCAACUUCGGUUAUAAGAUCCCUCAAAGAUGAUGAGGUUAAUAGGUUCGAGGUGGAAGCAUGGUGACAUGUGGAGCUGACGAAUACKAAUCGAUCGAAGACUUAAUCAAAUU